rnacentral:lncRNA from 1 species
GUUCAGCUCAAAAGACCUUACGGGUUGGAGGAUGGGACAAGACCCAUCCCUGCAAAGUAAGCAUUCCAGUGAUGCUCCAGGUGGGUAUGCAGUGAUUUACCGCAGUUAAGGGUGGGCACUGUGUCUAGAUGGGGUUUGUUCUUGUUCAGAUUAUGCUGACCACUCUGUGAUGAACAUAAAAAAAGACAAGCAUAUGGCUGAUCUUAAAAGUGAUGUCAUCUUCCUGCUGAGAAGUGGACCAAGAGUAUUCAAGGACCUAUGAAUGGCUAUUUUUAGGUACAUAUAAUGCCUUUUCUGUUUCCAGCAUCUCCUCCCCAAGCCUGAGGAAUCCAGCUGCCUCCAAGGGUGAAGACAGGUAAUUUUUUGACCAGAUGAGGGGAUUGGAGUGUCCUCUCCUGUUUGGCCUACAACCAGGAGAGCAAAAUGAGCAGUUUUGCCUUUUUGCUUCUUGCAGCUUAUUCCUCUUAGAAUGACUUUCCUGUGGAGGGAAAGAGCAACCCAACAGUACAGUUAAUUCUUGAGAUGGUGUGCUCUCCCUCACCCAUAUGUCACUGUCAGAUGAUUUGAAUAGAUAUGCUGAUCCUCUGUGAGGUACAACAAUUAAUAGCAUGUUAGAGUUCUGAUGGCAGUUUCUAUUAAUGAAGAAACUUUGUUCUAGCCUAGUACUUUUUGAUAACCAUCUGGUCUCCUUUUGCAGGUCGUCCUGAUGGUGGUAAUAUGUUGAUUUACAUUAUGGUGAGUAGCUUCUCCUAAUACUGUUGUUUUGUUAGCGUAUAUGUGAACCCAUCAAAGGGUGAUUUUUUUUUUUCAUCGUGUGGUUAUUUGUCUUCUUGUGACCAAAGACUUGAUCAGCCCGUAUAACUUUCUAGUUCUUUUUCCUUGUAGUGAUAUUUCUUGAUCUAUUUCUCUAGGUGCCCACUGAUGUGCUCAGGGUCGAACUCAUGGAAAGAGUUAAGGAUGGUGAGUACUUGUAACCUUGCUGAUUACAGCUUGCCCCAGAGUAUAAUGCCAAUGAAGAGAGCAAGCAUCCUGUCUUACCCCUGCUCUAGCCCCAGAGCCAGUAAUGGUGAACCCACUGGGGCUAACUGGGUGAGAGGAUGAGAAUUUGUUCCAUAAGGAACUGUCUGAGGUACAGCGUAUCCCUGUCAAUAGUAUUUGCUUGGGUUUUCUUCACUUAAACCCAUUAAUUAUAUAGCUAGAAUAGCUUUAGCUGUUUUAGAUACUUGCUUGGCUAAUUACAUGAUCUUCUUCAGGAGCAGCUUGUUCGUGUAUACUACCAAAAGGCCUCCAAGUUAACAGGUUAGUUGGUUAAUGUCUGUGGUUCAUGCCACCAAAUAGGCAAGUUUCCGUGAUGAAUAAAACUAGCUCACUAUGACUCCACAAUGAAAACAUGUGAACACCUGAGAAACUGGAAAAAGUAGGAAUGGGGGGGAUGCCACGUGGAAGGACUUUUCAUUACCCACAGCUUUGUCUUUCUCUAGGUAUCGUUACCCAUAACCUGCUCACUUGCUCAGAGGUGAGUAGUUUCCAUACGUGAUACCUGAAGCAUAUUGGGUACAAAAAAAAACACCCUUUGGGGCCUAAACACGUGAUGACUUACAUGGAAUCUCGUUCGGCUGAUAACUUGCUGUUGAGAUUGGAAAUCUGAUUUUCCUAGAAAUGAUGGUUUUAAAGGGGAACGAUUUAUUGCUGAAGGUGAGCAUUACUGACUCCAGUCUGGUUUGUUUCAGGUUCAGCACCUUCUCUGGAGCCCAAGAAUGAUUUGAGGUGAAUGCCUUUGUAAUGUUGUCAUUUAUAGCCAUUAUGUAAAAUUUACUAGGUGUUUUUAAUGGGGAGGGGGCAACACUUUGGUCUGGGUAGCUAUUCGAAGAAGACAUUACUGGCUUAAUUCAGUCUUGUCUGUGGACACCCUGAACCAUCUGUGACAAGCUCCCACUCACCAGUGAUGAAUUCAAUACCGCCCCAGUCUGAACACUGUGACUGAAAGGUAUUCUCUGAGCUGUGAGCUUAUCUUAGAGUAAGAAGUGGUAAGUUGGCUGGUGGUUUCUAUGUAAGAUGUGCAUGCAGAAUACUACAUAACCUUUACAACUGUGCCUUCCCUCUAAGCAAUAGGGACCCAGGGGGAUAACUGAGAGGCCUAUAAUUCCCAAUCAUUCUUUUACAGGUACCCUCAGCCAUUUCUCUGCUCAGCUCCAGUCUGAAGUCAGGUGGGUAAACCUAGAUACUAGAUGGUCCAAAUUAAAACUUCCCAGUGAAGAAACAGUCACAUGUCUUACUUCCUGUUCUAGUCCCAGAGCCUGUAAAGGUGAACCCACUGGGACUGGCUGGGGGAAAAGAGGAAGCUUGUUCCAGAAGGAACAGUCUGAGGGAUUACAAGAGAUUUCUAAAGAUGGGAAAGGGAAGGACAAGUCACUUUGACGUAGAGUGUUUUUUUUUUUUUUCUCCAGGUCUGAAGAAGGAACAAGGCAUAGGUAAUGGGUAGGUAUUUGUCCAAAUACUGGUGUUUAUUUAAU